CCUACGGGAGGCAGCAGUGGGGAAUAUUGCGCAAUGGGGGCAACCCUGACGCAGCAACGCCGCGUGAUUGAAGAAGGCCUUCUGGUUGUAAAGAUCUUUAAUCAGGGACGAAAAAUGACGGUAGCUGAAGAAUAAGCUCCGGCCAAAUACGGACCAGCAGCCGCGGUACUACGCAGGGAGCAAGCGUUAUCCGGAUUUACUGGGGGUAACGGGCGGGUAUGCGGGCUUGUAAGUCAGAAGUGAAAUCUGAGGGCUUAACCCCCAAAGUGCUGUUGAAACUGCGGGUCUUGAGUGAUGGAGAGUCAGGCGGAAUUCCCAGUGUAGCGGUGAAAUGCGUAGAUAUUGGGAGGAACACCAGUGGCGAAGGCGGCCUGCUGGACAUUAACUGACGCUGAGGCGCGAAAGCGUGGGGAGCAAACAGGAUUAGAUACCCCAGUAGUC
rnacentral:rRNA from 1 species